ACUAGUUGAUUGGAGCUCCCUACUUCCUGAAUCCUCAUUAUCCUCAAUAAGCAAAUCCUUCCUGGUAAUCAAGCCAAUCACACGUGAAGCACGAGGGACAACAAAUAUGUGUCUUAAUCCCAGUUCGCGGAAAAGAUUAUACACCUUUGUUAAAGACAUAUCCUCAGGGACAACAUAUGGAGAAGGAUUCAAAAAUGGAGCAAGAUCUAUGUACAUUUCCAAGUCAUCCAAACUAAGAUGAAUAUCCUCUAUAGAAAUUCCUUUACUGGAAACAGGUUUCACAAAUUCACUGAAAUUGUGCCUGAUUGACCUGGAUCCACCACUAGGAUCACAGGGCAAAGGACUAUGCUGAAAGUCUACCUUAGACUGGAGAAGCACCAGCAAAUGGCUGCGAAGUACAAGUCCAAUCACAAGGGUUUCUCCAUUUCUCGUGUGAUCAAUCACAGGAAAACCAUUAUGUUUAUUGCUCCGUAAAAUAGAAACUACGUCUGCAACCUUAGCAACACGAGGAAAGGAGAUAACCUUCUGAUUUCCACAAGCUUCCCUUGCAGUCAUUUUUCUCAUCUGGUACUUAGGUCUGGUAUCCAGUAAUGGAAUGCCUCUCAAUUGGGCCUGUACUUCAUAUAGACCUUCGUUAAAAGCAUCACCAACAGCCUUUGAUAUAAGAAGAACAAGCAUGAUUAGAGGUAAAAGUUUCAAGUUGUUUGUGAUCUCAACCAUGAUCACACAUAAUGAGACUGUCAUCCGCAUUGAACCUCCAAGGAAAGAAGCAGCACCGAGCAGAGCAUAUGUUCCCUCCUCAAUGUUGGGUUUGUUGUAAAAUUUAACAACACACAUGCCGACAAGGCGUCCAUAUGUUGACCCUAUCAUUAUUCCAGGAACAAACUGACCAGCAGGAACUGCCGUGCCAAAUGUCACCACUGCCAAGGUAUAAAACAUUACCAGAAAUGUCAAUAAACUUUGGGCACUGAACUCAUGGAUCGUCUUUGCACUAAACAGAUUCCUUAUGGCGUCAUCCUGAGUAUUAAAGAAAAUCGUCGCAAGAUCGUUGUAUUCUUUGUUCUUGUCACAGUAGAAAUUUACAUAAUUCCCAUACAUUCCUGGAGGCCUUGGGCACUCAAUACCAGAGUCAGCAUCUACUUCAGGGCAUGGACUGCAUUUUCUUAGAAGUGGUAGUCCAAAAGAAAUAACUGAUGUUAUCACAGAGAUGAGGCAUGCUUCCACAACCUUUACUCGGACAGAUUUCUUAUGUAAAUAAUUUCGGCGCCAGCGAGUUAUGUAAAGUGUUAGCUGGUUAAAUAAAGCUCCAAGUAGACCACCAAUAACCCCAAUGACUGCCAUUGGAAGUAACUCUGCAAAAGAGUAGUCCUCUUGACCGUCUGAUAUGUCCCAUAUUACAAAGCCACCUGAGCCAAAAUGCCCACACUUUCCACUCUUGCACCAUCCCAUUGCAGUACGCACGACAACUGCCACAAUAGCAGAAGUAAAGAAGACUCGCCACAUAAGUUGACUCUUCCACCAUGAUGUAACUUCUUCCAAUGCAAACAAUACACCACCAACUGGAGCUCUAAAAGCAGCAGCAACUCCAGCUGCACAUCCACAGGUCACAAGAUCACGACGAUCCCGGUCACUCUUGAAAACUUGUAGCCACCUGGAACUUAGAUGAUAUUUGGUGGAUCCACCUUGUCCAAGCAAUGAAGCAAUACAAGCACCUGUGUGAACAAGAGGACCUUCUUUGCCUAAAGCAAGACCACCUCCCACAGAACCAAUGCUUCCAAAUAUCUUUCCAAUCAAGGUUCUGAAAAGUAGAAUGCCAUGAAUAUCAAGUCCAUUCAGAUAACCCUUAAUUUCAGGAAUACCAGAUCCUGCUGCCGCAGGUGCAAAUUGCGUGAUGAUAUAUACAGANNNNNNNNNNNNNAAACCAAGUUAAUUAAUACAUAUACUACAAAGCCAGCAAAAUAUGAUUUUUGUAUUAUAGAAAAAGUGAGAGAAAAUUUCCAGCCAGCAAAGUUCUCAACAGAUAUGUUGAUGAAAACUGCAGCUAAUCCUGUACCAAUGCCAAUGAGCAAAGCAAAUAACCACUUCACGGCCACGUAAUAUCCAACAUAAAGCUUCCCUCUCUGCGCCUGUUCUUCUCGAUACGCGUAAUUCUCUAUAACUUCAUAGUCAAGGCUCUCGACACUGCUCCCAUCGCCGGUACUUAAGAGACCAACCCCCUCGAACAGACCGUCCUCUGAACUCGGAAUCCGAGACCACAUCAGCUUAGCGGUCUCGAUUCCAUCCUGUAGAUGAUUCGAUAACAUUAUCUCUCUCUCUCGCUCUCUCUCAAAAUCAAACCCUAACCUAAGCCCUAAUUGGCACCAAAUAGGAAAUCAAAGAAUCGGGGGCUGUGCAGCAAUUGAGAAUCAAUAGACACAGAUCAGGUAUCGAUUAAAGAAAAAGUCAGCCUCUUAAUAAAAUUGUUGUGUAAAAACAAGAGAAGGAAAUUAAAUCCAGAGGUGCCUAGAGAGGAGAAAUCGCGCCAGAGAGAUAAAAGGCUGACUAUGGCGUGGAAUCUUCAGUGACUUCGCGUUUGCUCUAUUGUUUCAGGUCUUAGAGUUUUCUGUUAAAAU
rnacentral:misc_RNA from 1 species